rnacentral:rRNA from 1 species
AGUGAACGCUGGCGGUAGGCCUAACACAUGCAAGUCGAACGGCAGCACAGUAAGAGCUUGCUCUUACGGGUGGCGAGUGGCGGACGGGUGAGGAAUACAUCGGAAUCUACUUUUUCGUGGGGGAUAACGUAGGGAAACUUACGCUAAUACCGCAUACGACCUACGGGUGAAAGCAGGGGAUCUUCGGACCUUGCGCGAUUGAAUGAGCCGAUGUCGGAUUAGCUAGUUGGCGGGGUAAAGGCCCACCAAGGCGACGAUCCGUAGCUGGUCUGAGAGGAUGAUCAGCCACACUGGAACUGAGACACGGUCCAGACUCCUACGGGAGGCAGCAGUGGGGAAUAUUGGACAAUGGGCGCAAGCCUAAUCCAGCCAUACCGCGUGGGUGAAGAAGGCCUUCGGGCUGUAAAGCCCUUUUGUUGGGAAAGAAAAGCAGCAGGUUAAUACCCCGCUGUUCUGACGGUACCCAAAGAAUAAGCACCGGCUAACUUCGUG